rnacentral:sRNA from 1 species
GGAUAGCCCUGAUGGAAGUGGCAUCCUUUUUCCUAUUUACCGGGUCAGGAUUUUGAAUCCUAAACAGGUAAAUAGGAAAAAGAUACAACGGACAGCAGGAAGAUUC